GUCCAUAGCUCAGUGGUCAAGCAUUUGCCUCGCAAGCAGAAGGUCCCUGGUUCCAUUCCCAGCAUCUCCA